ensembl:snRNA U2 U2 spliceosomal RNA
AUAUUUUCAAACAAAAAAAAAUCUGUUCUUAUCAGUUUAAUAUCUGAUACGUCCCCUACCCGGGGACCAUAUAUUAAAUUGAUUUUUGGAACUGGGAGAUGGAAAAGGGGCUUGCCCCGUCCACUCCACGCAUCGACCUGGUAUUGCAGUACCUCCAGGACCGGUGCACCCCUC